GAUGAACGCUGGCGGUAUGCUUAACACAUGCAAGUCGAACGGACUCUUCGGAGUUAGUGGCGGACGGGUGAGUAACGCGUGAGAAUCUGGCUUUGGGUUCGGGACAACCACUGGAAACGGUGGCUAAUACCGGUUGUGCUGAGAGGUAAAAGAGAAAGUGCCUGAAGAUGAGCUCGCGUCUGAUUAGCUAGUUGGUGAGGUAAAGGCUCACCAAGGCAGCGAUCAGUAGCUGGUCUGAGAGGAUGACCAGCCACACUGGGACUGAGACACGGCCCAGACUCCUACGGGAGGCAGCAGUGGAGAAUUGUCCGCAAUGGGCGAGAGCCUGACGGAGCAAUACCGCGUGAGAGAAGAAGGCUCUUGGGUUGUAAACCUCUUUUCUUAGGGAAGAACAAAAUGACGGUACCUAAGGAAUCAGCAUCGGCUAACUCCGUG
rnacentral:rRNA from 1 species